rnacentral:lncRNA from 1 species
GUUCAUUCUUCUUCAUCUUCAUCAUCAUCAUCAGUUCAUUCAUUCUAGGUGUUCUAGAUCCACAAAUCACCUACAAACAAUUACUCUCAUAAUUCAUUCAACAUCAAAUUUACACAAAUCAUCAAACCCUAAGUGCCCUAACAACAACAAAUCCAGAUCCACAACACAAAUCACAAAAUCAACGAAACAAGUUCAUCAUCAUCAUCAUCAUCAGGUUCAUCAUCAUCAUCAUCAUCAUCAUCAUCAUCAUCAUCAGUUCAUCACCACCACCACCUCCUUCUCCUCUUCUGACCACCGCCACCAUCAUCCCACCACUGUUCAUUCUUCAUAUUCAAAACAUCCCCAUACAAAACAAACCCAGAUCUAAUAACCCAAACAUCUUCAUACAAAACAAACCCAGAUCUAAUAACCCAAACAUCUGCACAUGAACAUGAACACAGAUUCAUAAUCAAUCUUCAUACAAAACAAAUCCCCUUUGACUUGUUCAUAAUCAAUCUUCAAAAAACCCAGAUUCAUAAACCCAAACCGACUUAAUAACCCAAACAUCUGCACAUGAACAUAACAGAUUCAUACAAAACAAACCCAGAUUCAAAAAGCAUCUUCAUAAUAACCCAUAUGCACAUGAACAUAACAGAUUCAAAAACAUCUUCAUACAAAACAAACCCAUAUACAUAAACCCAGACAUGCCAAGUUCAUCUGUAGAUUCAACCCAGAUUCAACUGAUGAAGUGGCGGAGACGGUGGUGGUGGUGGUGAGGAGAAGUGGCGGCAGAGACGGUGGUGGUGAGGAGAAGUGGCAGAGACGGGGGAUGGACUGGUUCAAUCGCAGAGGGGUUUCAAUCUUUGUUUGGGGAAAUUGUCAAGAAAUGGUUUGGAUUGUUGUGGAUUGUGGUGAGGGUGGUGGUGGCUGA